UGCAAUGAGAGUUAUCAGCGUAACCACAGG
rnacentral:piRNA from 1 species